UAAACAAACAAGACCAAAUGUAAUGUUUGACACAUGUAGCCUAGCAUCCAACAUUAAGAAUGAUACUGUUCAGUCCAUACAUGAAAUGAAAGUCACACUUAAGUUCCAACACUUGGGAAACAGUGAAGAUUUAAGUUUAGUGGCUUUCAGUGAUGCCUCACUAGGCAAUCUUCAGGAUGGAGGUACACAGGAAGGGGCUUUAAUUGUCCUCAUGGAAAAAACAGUAAAGUGUUCCCCUUUGUUUUGGCAAUCUAAGAAAAUCAAACGUGUGGUAAGAAGCACGCUGGCAGGAGAAACCCUUGCGAUUGUAGCAGCACUACCCAGACGGGUUGAAUGAUAAGUGCUUUAAUUAGAGACAGGUGUGCUAUGGGUGUAGGUGUGCAUAAAAGGAAGGUUUCCAGCAUUGUUUGAGGCUGACGGGUGGUUGCUGCUGUGACUUUGGACGUUGAAUGCCUAAUGUUUUCUUAGUGGAUUUUUUGAGCCGUUUGGGACCAGCAUUUGAUUGUGGACUUGCUGCAUUUUGGUAUACAUGCCAUGUGGAGUUUAUCCAUCACUGGAUGUGUCAGCAGUGCCGACUCUCUAAUAAUCAGCUUAAAGCACUCCGGAGGUAUAUGCCCAUAUGACACUGGGUAGCGGAUUUGGAUGGUGGCCCAGCUUCCCCUUCUUGGUGUUUUAUUAUUAUUUUUCUAAUUUUUUUGUUUAAGUAUCUGCCUAGCGGCUUACUUCUGUGACACCUGGUCCACCCCUUCAUUUGUGCCGUCCGCAUUAAGUGGCCUGUUCCUGGGAAUAACUGUGGGACAGGGUAUUAGUUUUUCUCAGUCGCUUUGGUGCAUUUCUCACAUCACUAUUUACAUUCGCACAACAGUUAGUUCAACCUCCACAACAUUUAGUCAUUUGUGCACGUCAUAGUAGCAGUUUCUCAUUCCUUCGAACAAAUUGCAAAUGCUUUUGGACAUGCAUCAAUUGCUUUCAUACAAUUCUCUGCUGUUUUAUAACAUUAUCAUUUGUUUGUCAUGUCAGUCAAAAUUAACUAUACUUGUGAAUGCUGAAUAGUCAUUCCAUGUAAAACUAAUAGUCCUUAUUUGAUUGCUUCAGUCAUUACAUACAAAAAUUUUCAAGUUUUUUUAAGUCUUUUUUUCUCCGAAAAGUCUCCUAAAUUGAACAAUUUUUGAGAUGAUGUGGCCAGACAGAGGAAUGUCUGGAUGUACAAGAAUGAUUACAGUACUAUGUCUGUUGUAUGUUCGUUCCAAUAUGUACUGCAAUGUUUUUUACAGUUGUGCACAGCCAAAGUUUGUUUGUUGUAAAUAAGGAUGUAUUUUUUUCUUUUGCACAAUACUAUGAACAGAUUAGAAUUGCAAAUAGGGAUGGGACGAUUACCGGUUUCACGAUUAACCAUGAUAAAAUGUCCUGACGGUUAGUAUUAUCGUUUAAAAUGUAAUUAUCAUUAUAACCGUGUUUGAUUACCGUGAUUUUGAAAACUCGCGGUAAAUCCUGUCCAGCCAGAAUCAGCUUGACGCAGGCGCUCGCAUGCAACAUUAGCUUUUGUGCGAGAAGGCGUGGCGGAUGCAGUAACAGGUGCACUGUGUUUUAAUGCGUUGCUUAUGUGUGCAUUUGUUUUUAUUUAAGCUACUGUUCAUUAAAACAGGUUCAUACAUUUCAGGGCUCCAUGUUAAUGUUCAUUUAAUGCAGGGGUGUCCAACACAACCAGUCGAUCGCAAAUGCAAUGCGGGUAGAUCGCCUAUAAGUUAAUAACUGUAUGCUGCUCCACGCCUCCACGAGCUUCGGAAAGCAAAGCGCCAAAUUGGCAUUAUGGUCUUAGAAGUCUUUUUGAGUUGUUGCGCAUUUCUUCUCAAGUGUGUUUUUAUAAAUCUUAUGCCUGCCCGCUGCAGCGGAGUCGUCUAACUUCCGAAAUUUGAAUGCACAUACAUGCUGGAGUUGAUCCACACGUACGGUGUAUGUGCGCGCGAUCGAUCGACCGAAUGAGAGAGAAAUGCUUCUGAUAAUGUUGUCAGUUUAUUUCAUCAAAACCGCAUCUCCGCUAUAUGGUCUCACCAUGUACUCAAUGAUUUUUUUUAACUCCUCAAAAAGAAUAGAGUAAUGGUGACAACCCUAAAUUCAACGUAGAGAUAGUCCUCCUAACACACAUUUAAAGUGUUAUUAAAAAAUGUAACUGUUUUGUUAAAUGUUUUUUAGCAGGUAGGUUUUGUCAGCUUUAUCAUUUUAAAAGUAGAUUCCCACACAAAAAAAGGCCGGACACCCCUGAUUUAAUGUUUAUGCUUAAAAAAGUGCAUAUAGCUGCUAAUUGUAUUUGUUGUUUGCCGAUUUUCAAAAAUAAAACUUGUUAAAAUUUUUCAGUGUGUGUAUCAGUUCUUUUUGAACACUUCCAUCUCAAUUUAAGAAAACCAUGAUAAUAUUGAUAACCGUGAUAACUUUGGUCACUAUAAUCAUGAUAUGAAAUUUUCAAACCAUCCCAUCCCUAAUUGCAAAGAGCAUAUGCAGUGAAAAUGUGAAACAUACAUAUUCAGUGUCUUGUACUCAGUUACCUCACUAAAUACAGUAAUGUGUAACUUUAUUGUAUUUUUCAAAUAGCUGUGGAAAAGUGUAUAGUCUUGAGUAUUUUCAGGUAGUGUCACCAAGAUUUUACUUUUUUGCAUUGGAAAACAUUUAUAAAGUAAACUGUCAUAAUGAAAACAUGACUAAGCCACUUGACUAUCUUGUUCAUAAACAAUGGUGUCAGGACUUUUCAUUUUGAUGACACUGACACUUUCAUUGACAUGAAUACUUGCUUUUGAGGAAUGUCCUAUCCAUUUUGAGCAAGUGACACACUUUUGCAGGUUAUCAACUAGGUUUUGCAGUUUGUACUAAUUGUUUUGAGAACUGCAUUAACUGUUGUGCAAAUGUAAAUAGUGAUGUGAGAAAUGCACCAAAGCGACUGGGAAAAACUGUAAGUUGGGCAUUCGCUACCCCGUAUUGUUUCAACUGGAGGAGGUUUGCGUGGUUGUAUGGUACAUUUGUGGUCGUGUGCAUGAGUUAAGUUAAGGUGUGUGUGACUUAUAGCGUGUGUAUAGUGUGAGAAUGACAUGUCGUUUAAUGUGCGUGCGUGAAUUAUAGAGGGUGUGCGUGUGGUAAAUAGAUUAUGGUUUAAGUGAGGAAUGAGUGCUAGUUUGUUUACUUUAUUUUGUAUUUGUUAUAAACUAUGAUGUGAUUUAUUUAGUUUUCUUUGUUUAUUUGAUUUAAUAUUGGUUUCACAAGUGUGUUUAUUUGGUUAUUUUGUGGAGCUGUGGUAUUUUAUUCAACUGUUAGGUCGGUCAGGGAGGAGUGUUAACCUCAAUUUAUUUUUUUGUAAUUGUUCACUGAGUAGUUUGUGUAACUUUGUUUCUUUGAAACACGUGUGGUGAAGUGAGCCCAAAGAAACUUGUAUUUAAAGUGUGUUGUGAAGUGGAAAUUUGCUUUUCUUUCUCCCUGUUAUCCGAUCUGAACUUUUGAUGUCUGGAACCUAAUCCAGUGUUUUUAAAUGAAGCUAGCUUCACUAGUCUUGUGUUAAAGAUUACAUUAAAUUGUGGUUUUACUUUCUGUAUAAAUAAAGUAUUGUUGUU